rnacentral:tRNA from 1 species
GCCUGGCUGGCUUAGCUGGUUAAACGUCUGACUUCAGCUCAGGUCACAAUCUCAUGGUUUGUGGGUUCAAGCCCCACGUCAGGCU